rnacentral:lncRNA from 1 species
UUUACACAUGUCAUUGGCGAGAUAGAACAAAUACUCACCUAGACAGACAGACAGAUACACACACACACACACACACCUAGCUAUAAGUAAAACUUGGGAAAACAAUAAAAGAUCUAUGGAUUGUAUCAGUGUCAAAAUCCUGCUUGAAAUAUUAUAGUGUAUUUUCAUAAGAUGAUAUUAUUGGGAAAAAAUACCUAAGGGUUAUAUGACGGUUUUUUUUUUGUAUUAUUUUUUUUACAACUGCAUGUGAAUCUACAAUUAUCUCAUAAUAAGAAGCUUAAUUUAAAAAGAUUGAAGGUAUUCUGUUUGCAGAUGUCAUGAUUUUAUAAAUAGAAAAUCUUUUAGGACUGAUAAAGAAAUUCAGUAAUCCAAAAAUCAAUAGCAGUUUCAUUGAUCAAUAAUGAACUAGCUGAAAGAGAAAUCAAGAAAACAAUACCAUUUAUAAUGGCUACUAAAAGAUACUCAUGAAUAUAUUUAACCAAGAAGGUGAAAACUCUGUUGAGACAAAUUGAUACUGAUGAAAGAAAUUGAAAAAAGUACAAAAAAGUGCCAAGACAUCCCAUGUUCAUGGAAUGAAAAAAACAAUAUAAUUAUAAUGUACAUACUUGCCAAAGAAAUCUACAGAUUCAAUACAAUCCCUUUCAAAAUACCAAUGACAUUCCUCAUGGAAAUAGGAGGAAAAAAAAAAAAACCUAAAAUUCAUAGGGAACCAAAGAUCCUAAAGUAAUCCUGAGAAAAAUUAACAGAAUUGGGGGCAUCAUAGAUACCUGACUUUAAAACAAAAUAUAAGACCAAAACAAGAUGGUACUGGCACAAAAAUCAACAUAGAUGGACAGAACUGAGAACCCAGAAAUAAAUCUAUGUAUUUACAACCAACUGAUUUUCAGCAAAGACACCAGAACAUACAUUGGAGAAGUUACAGUUUCUUUAAUAAAUGUUCCAUAUGCAGAAGAAUGAAAUUAGACUCAGUUGUCUCAACACAUUGGAAAAAAAAAAAAAGAACCUUACAAACAUAGGAAAUGCUUCCCAGUAUUGGUCGGCCAAGGAGUUUUUGGAUAAGAUUCCAAAAGCCUAGGCAACAAAAGCGAAAUUGACAAAUGGGAUUAUAUCAAACUGUAAAGCUUCCACACAGCAAGUAAAUAACCAGCAGUGAGGAGACAACCCACAGAACUGGCGAAAACACUUGCACACUGGCAAAGGGUCAACAUGGAGAUCAUAUUCCAUAAACUCACACAGCUCAGACAAGUCAACCGCAAAUAGAAAAUACAAGCCAAUCUGAUGAAAGAAUGGGCAUAUGGCCUGUUUGGAAAUUUCUCGAAAGAAGAUAAACAAACGGUCAUCAAACAUUUCAAAAAAUCUUAACAACAUAAAUCUUUAGGAAAAUGCAAAUCAAGACCAUAUCUCCUCAGAGGUCAUCUCACCCUAUUCAAAUGACUGUUACCCAGAAGCCAGUAACAGAUGCUGCACAGAUAGGGAGGAAGGGGAGUUUUCAUACACUGUGGGGAAUGCAAGGUACUGUGGGCAUCAUGGAAAGCAGUGUGGAGUUUCC